rnacentral:rRNA from 1 species
GCUCAGAUUGAACGCUGGCGGCAGGCCUAACACAUGCAAGUCGAGCGGAUGAAGAGAGCUUGCUCUCUGAUUCAGCGGCGGACGGGUGAGUAAUGCCUAGGAAUCUGCCUGGUAGUGGGGGACAACGUUUCGAAAGGAACGCUAAUACCGCAUACGUCCUACGGGAGAAAGCAGGGGACCUUCGGGCCUUGCGCUAUCAGAUGAGCCUAGGUCGGAUUAGCUAGUUGGUGAGGUAAUGGCUCACCAAGGCGACGAUCCGUAACUGGUCUGAGAGGAUGAUCAGUCACACUGGAACUGAGACACGGUCCAGACUCCUACGGGAGGCAGCAGUGGGGAAUAUUGGACAAUGGGCGAAAGCCUGAUCCAGCCAUGCCGCGUGUGUGAAGAAGGUCUUCGGAUUGUAAAGCACUUUAAGUUGGGAGGAAGGGUUGUAGAUUAAUACUCUGCAAUUUUGACGUUACCGACAGAAUAAGCACCGGCUAACUCUGUGCCAGCAGCCGCGGUAAUACAGAGGGUGCAAGCGUUAAUCGGAAUUACUGGGCGUAAAGCGCGCGUAGGUGGUUUGUUAAGUUGGAUGUGAAAGCCCCGGGCUCAACCUGGGAACUGCAUUCAAAACUGACAAGCUAGAGUAUGGUAGAGGGUGGUGGAAUUUCCUGUGUAGCGGUGAAAUGCGUAGAUAUAGGAAGGAACACCAGUGGCGAAGGCGACCACCUGGACUGAUACUGACACUGAGGUGCGAAAGCGUGGGGAGCAAACAGGAUUAGAUACCCUGGUAGUCCACGCCGUAAACGAUGUCAACUAGCCGUUGGGGACUCUUGAGUCUUUAGUGGCGCAGCUAACGCAUUAAGUGACCGCCGGGACGGCAGUACCCCCG